AUUAAAUGUUGGGUUAAGUCCCGCAACGAGCGCAACCCUUAUCCUUUGUUGCCAGCGGUUAGGCCGGGAACUCAAAGGAGACUGCCAGUGAUAAACUGGAGGAAGGUGGGGAUGACGUCAAGUCAUCAUGGCCCUUACGAGUAGGGCUACACACGUGCUACAAUGGCGCAUACAAAGAGAAGCGACCUCGCGAGAGCAAGCGGACCUCAUAAAGUGCGUCGUAGUCCGGAUUGGAGUCUGCAACUCGACUCCAUGAAGUCGGAAUCGCUAGUAAUCGUGGAUCAGAAUGCCACGGUGAAUACGUUCCUGGGUCUUGUACACACCG
rnacentral:rRNA from 1 species